UAUUGGGCGUAAGCGAGCGCAGGCGGUUUUUUAAGUCGAUGUGAAAGCCCUCGGCUUAACCGAGGAAGCGCAUCGGAAACUGGGAAACUUGAGUGCAGAAGAGGACAGUGGAACUCCAUGUGUAGCGGUGAAAUGCGUAGAUAUAUGGAAGAACACCAGUGGCGAAGGCGGCUGUCUGGUCUGUAACUGACGCUGAGGCUCGAAAGCAUGGGUAGCGAACAGGAUUAGAUACCCUGGUAGUCCAUGCCGUAAACGAUGAAUGCUAGGUGUUGGAGGGUUUCCGCCCUUCAGUGCCGCAGCUAACGCAUUAAGCAUUCCGCCUGGGGAGUACGACCGCAAGGUUGAAACUCAAAGGAAUUGACGGGGGCCCGCACAAGCGGUGGAGCAUGUGGUUUAAUUCGAAGCAACGCGAAGAACCUUACCAGGUCUUGACAUCUUUUGAUCACCUGAGAGAUCAGGUUUCCCCUUGGGGGCAAAAUGACAGGUGGUGCAUGGUGUUCAGCUCG
rnacentral:rRNA from 1 species